rnacentral:SRP_RNA from 1 species
GCCAGGCGUGCUGGCGCAUGCCUGUAAUCCCAGCUACUUGGGAGGCAGGGGCAGAAGAAUCGCUUGAACCCAGGAGGUGGAGGUUGCAGUGAGCCGAUAUUGUGCCACUGCACUCCAGCCUGGGUGACAAAAGCGAGACUCUGUCUCAA